GUAAACGUUGAGUACUAAGUGUCGGCAUUAGUCGGUGCUGCAGCUAACGCAUUAAGUACUCCGCNUGAGUAGUAUGCUCGCAAGAGUGAAACUUAAAGGAAUUGACGGGGACCCGCACAAGUGGUGGAGCAUGUGGUUUAANUCGAAGCAACGCGAAGAACCUUACCAAGGCUUGACAUCCAGUGCAAAGCUACAGAGAUGUAGUGGAGGCUAACAUUGAGACAGGUGGUGCAUGGUUGUCGUCAGCUCGUGCCGUGAGGUGUUGGGUUAAGUCCCGCAACGAGCGCAACCCCUAUCAUUAGUUGCUAACAUUCAGUUGAGGACUUUAAUGAGACUGCUAGUGUAAGCUAGAGGAAGGUGGGGACGACGUCAAAUCAUCAUGCCCCUUAUGUCUUGGGCUACACACGUGCUACAAUGGCUGAUACAAAGAGUCGCAAUCCUGCAAAGGGGAGCCAAUCUCAAAAAGUCAGUCUCAGUUCGGAUUGAAGUCUGCAACUCGACUUCAUGAAGCCGGAAUCACUAGUAAUCGCGAAUCAGCAACGUCGCGGUGAAUACGUUCUCGGGUCUUGUACACACCGCCCGUCACACCAUGAGAGUUGGUAAUGCCAGAAGCACGUAUCUUAACCGUAAGGAGAGAGCGUACCAAGGCAGGAUUAGCGAUUAGGGUGAAGUCGUAACAAGGUAACCGUAA
rnacentral:rRNA from 1 species